rnacentral:rRNA from 1 species
UACGUAGGGGGCUAGCGUUGUCCGGAAUCAUUGGGCGUAAAGCGCGUGUAGGCGGUCCGGUAAGUCCGCUGUGAAAGUCGGGGGCUCAACCCUCGAAUGCCGGUGGAUACUGUCGGGCUAGAGUGCGGAAGAGGCGAGUGGAAUUCCUGGUGUAGCGGUGGAAUGCGCAGAUAUCAGGAAGAACACCCGUGGCGAAGGCGGCUCUCUGGAACGCAACUGACGCUGAGACGCGAAAGCGUGGGGAGCAAACAGG